AUUGAACGCUGGCGGCAGGCCUAACACAUGCAAGUCGAGCGGAUGAGUGGAGCUUGCUCCAUGAUUCAGCGGCGGACGGGUGAGUAAUGCCUAGGAAUCUGCCUGGUAGGGGGGGACAACGUUUCGAAAGGAACGCUAAUACCGCAUACGUCCUACGGGAGAAAGUGGGGGAUCUUCGGACCUCACGCUAUCAGAUGAGCCUAGGUCGGAUUAGCUAGUUGGUGAGGUAAAGGCUCACCAAGGCGACGAUCCGUAACUGAUCUGAGAGGAUGAUCAGUCACACUGGAACUGGAACACGGUCCCGACUCCUACGGGAGGCAGCAGUGGGGAAUAUUGGACAAUGGGCGAAAGCCUGAUCCAACCAUGCCGCGUGUGUGAAGAAGGUCUUCGGAUUGUAAAGCACUUUAAGUUGGGAGGAAGGGCAGUAAGUUAAUACCUUGCUGUUUUGACGUUACCAACAGAAUAAGCACCGGCUAACUUCGUGCCAGCCGCCGCGGUAAAAC
rnacentral:rRNA from 1 species